GCAGGUGUGAGGAGUGAGGACUCCACCAGGGUCGAAACAAGGCCAGACUCCUGGGAAAGUCCACAC
rnacentral:sRNA from 1 species